rnacentral:rRNA from 1 species
GACUACUGGGGUAUCUAAUCCCAUUCGCUCCCCUGGCUUUCGUUCCUCAGCGUCAGUUACGGGCCAGCAAGUCGCUUACGCCACUGGUGUUCUUCCCAAUAUCUACGCAUUUCACCGCUACACUGGGAAUUCCACUUGCCUCUACCGCACUCAAGUCAUCCAGUAUCCAAUGCAGUUCUGUGGUUGGGCCACAGUAUUUAACAUCAGACUUAAAUAACCGCCUACGAACUCUUUACGCCCAAUAAAUCCGGACAACGCUUGCAUCCUACGUCUUACCGCGGCUGCUGGCACGUAGUUAGCCGAUGCUUCCUUUGCUGGUACCGUCAUUUUUUUCGUUCCAGCCGACAGAACUUUACACCCCAAAAGGCUUCUUCGUUCACGCGGUGUCGCUACAUCAGGGUUUCCCCCAUUGUGCAAAAUUCCCCACUGCAGCCCCCCGUAGG